rnacentral:rRNA from 1 species
UACGGGGGGAGCAAGCGUUGUUCGGAUUUACUGGGCGUAAAGGGCGCGUAGGCGGUCAGCACAAGUCAGUUGUGAAAUCUCCGGGCUUAACUCGGAAAGGUCAACUGAUACUGUGCGACUAGAGUGCAGAAGGGGCAACUGGAAUUCUCGGUGUAGCGGUGAAAUGCGUAGAUAUCGAGAGGAACACCUGCGGCGAAGGCGGGCUGCUGGGCUGACACUGACGCUGAGGCGCGAAAGCUAGGGGAGCGAACGGG